AAAGGUUUACCUUUAGCUGCAAAAACACAUGGAGAUGUACUGCGCUCUAAAAGAGAUAGAGAUGAAUGAGAGAAGAUACUGAAGAGUGACAUAUGGGAUUUGUCUGAGGAAAACAUUCUUCCAGCAUUAAGAUUGAGCUAUUAUUACCUCCCAUCGCAUCUAAAACAGUGCUUUGUUUAUUGUGCUCUAUUUCCUAAAGAUUAUGUAUUUCGAAGGGAGGAAUUAGUCCUUUAAUGGAUGGCAGAAGGUUUUGUAGUCCAAACAACAGGAAAUAGGGAGGUAGAAGAUAUUGCUGAUGAGUACUUUCAUGUUCUUGUGGCAAAGUCAUUUUUUCAACAAUUGAGUGGGGAUCGAUCGGGCUUUGUUAUGCAUGACCUCAUAAAUUACUUAGCUAAGUUUGCUUCAAGAGAGUUUUGCGUCAGGUUGGAGGGUGACAGUUCAUGCAAGAUUCUUAAAGGACUCGACAUUUAUCAUAUGCAAGAACUGAAUAUGAUGCUUUUAAGAAAUUUGAGAGCAUCUAUGAAGCUCAACUUUUGCACACCUUCUUACCUGUUGACUGGUCAAGGCGGUGGCAGCCUAAAUGCAUUGAUAACAAGGUGAUGUAUGAUUUAUUACCAACACUGGAGCUUCUUUGGGUGCUUUCGUUGUCUGUGAUUAUACUAAUACAUUUAGGUUGCCUGAUUCAAUUAGUGAUUUGAAACAUUUACGAUAUUUGAAUCUCUCGAGAUCAUACAUAAAAAGAUUACCAGAUCCUGUGAGUACAUUGUACUAUUUGCAAACAUUGAUCUUGCAUGAGUGCAUAUACUUUGUUGUGUUGCCAGAUUCAAUUGGCAACUUGAAGCAUUUGCGAUUCCUAGAUCUUGUUGGAACAGCAAUCCAGAGAGUACCUGAUUCCAUGUGUAAUUUGUACAAUUUGCAGACCUUAAUCUUAUAUUGGUGCUUAUACCUUGUUGAGUUGCCAGCCAACACUGCUAGAUUAGUCAACUUAUGUUAUCUUGACAUUGGAAAUACAAAAUUGCAAGAGAUGCCACCGCAUUUGGGGAAACUAAAAAAGCUCCAACAAUUAACUGAUUUCAUUUUGUGAAAGCAGAGUGGGUCUAGCAUUGCAGAGUUGGUAGAGCUUCAAUGUCCACAGGGAGCACUUUGUAUACAGAAUCUGCAAAACAUCGUUUAUGGUGAAGAUGCUUCGGAAGCCAAUUUGAAUUAUAAGAAGCACCUUAAAAGAUUGGAGUUGAGAUGGACUGGUGAAAAUGAGAAUUCAGAGCAUGAAAAGAGUGUACUUCUGCAGUUAGAGCCUCAUACAAAUGUGGAAUGCCUUCUCAUGCUGGUUAUGGGGGUGCAAGAUUCCCAGAUUGGGUAGGAGACUCUUCUUUCUCAAAACUUAGUAUCGUUGACUCCAAGCGGAAGCAAAUGCUGCUCCUCCUUACCACCACUUGGGCAGUUGGUUUCUCUACAAGACCUCACUAUCACAUCAUUUGAUGCAGUUGUGUUUGUUGGCCCUGAGUUUUAUGGGAGUUGUACAUCCUCAGUGAAGCCAUUUGGAUCCCUCAGAAUGUUAAGGUUUGAAGGGAUGCUGCAAUGGCAUGAAUGGAUUUCUAAUGUAGGGAGAAAUGAAGGUGGAGCUUUCCCUCUCCUUCAAAAGCGAUACGUAAGUGAAUGUCCCGUUCUGAUAACAGCCCUGCCAAGUAACCUUCCUUCAUUAACAACACUUGAGAUUAGUAGAUGUCCCCAACUUCUAGUUUCGCUUCCAAGGACUUCAGCCAUCCUAAAAGCACAAUUAAAGUAUGAUUUACGUGGUUUUCUGUUAGAGAUAUUGCCUUUUGGGCUAUAUAGUCUUAAAGCUGACGGAUUUGGCUUCUUAGAUGUCCUGAUAGAGGGAGUGAAGCAAAUGAGUGGUUUAUCCAGUAAUUUAGAAGAAAUCAUCAUAAAUUGUGAUUCUCUCAAGUGCUUCCACUUAUUGUUCCCCAAGAUAAAGUCUUUCUUUAAGCAGAUGUCCAAAUCUCAAUGCCCUUUUUGCACCUAAGACCACUCAAGGGAAUCUCACGGCUCUUAAUUCCUUGAAAAUUUGGGAAUGCCCAAAUUUUAUUUCUUUUCCAAAAGGAGGGUUAGCCACCCCAAAUUUAACAUCUCUCCAGUUAUGGGGUUGCUCCAUUUUGAAUUUGCUGCCUGAAAGGAUGCUUCCAGCCUCCCUUCCCUUGUAAAUCCGGAAAAAGGUAAUUGUCCAAAACUUGAGUUGUUUCCAGAGGGGGGCUUGCCCUCCAAGUUAGAAUCACUGGAGAUUGAAAGUUGCAACAAACUUAUUGCUGGCCUCAUACAGUCGGAUUUGCAAAUGCUUCCUUCUGUUUCUCACUUCUGUAUUGGUAUGUGUGAAGAUGUUGAAUCCUUCCCAAAAGAUAAGCUGCUACCAUCCACUCUAACCUCCCUUGAAAUCUGGGGUCUUCAAAAUCUGAUAUCUCUGGACUGCAAGGGCCUUCAACACCUUACCUCUCUGCGACAAUUGGGCAUUUCAGGCUGCCCAAAGCUCCAAUUAAUGACAGAAGAGGGGCUGCCUUCCUCUCUUUCUUCCUUAUUUAUUUGCUAUUGUCCUUUACUGGAGCAAAACUGUCAACAAGUGAAAGGGGAAUACUGGCACAAAAUUUCUCACAUCCCUUACAUAGAAAUUAAUUUCAAGCAUAUCAAUGAGACAAGAUGAGUCUCUUUUUCACAUUCAUUCAAGAUCCAACAGUCGGGUAUUAUUUAGGGGGAGUUUGGUUCAGCUGUUGGGUGCAGCUGAUAGUUGAUAGUUGAUAGACUUUGGUGUAAGUUUUAA
rnacentral:misc_RNA from 1 species